rnacentral:rRNA from 1 species
UACCCCACUAUGCCCAGCCUUAACAAAACAAUUAAAUAACGAAUUGUUCGCCAAAUAACUACGAGCGAAAGCUUAAAAUUUAAAAGACUUGACGGUGCUUCACAUCGACCUAGAGGAGCCUGUCUAAUAACCGAUAAUCCACGAUUAACCCAACCCCCUCUAGCCUACAGUCUAUAUACCGCCGUCGCCAGCUUACCUUGUAAAAGAAAUAAAGCAAGCCCAAUAACACUAUCCUUAAUACGACAGGUCGAGGUGUAACUAAUGAGAGGGACAAGAUGGGCUACAUUUUCUACACUAGAAAAAACGAAUAGACUAUGAAACUAGAAACUGAAGGCGGAUUUAGAAGUAGGUUGAGAAUAGAACACCCAACCGAAAUUAACGCAAUGAAGUGCGCACACACCGCCCGUCAUCCCUGUAAAACAGACAAAACCAUCCAUAAACACCUUUAUUUUUCCAAAGCAGGGCAAGUCGUAACA